rnacentral:rRNA from 1 species
AGUGAACGCUGGCGGUAGGCCUAACACAUGCAAGUCGAACGGCAGCACAGUAAGAGCUUGCUCUUACGGGUGGCGAGUGGCGGACGGGUGAGGAAUACAUCGGAAUCUACUUUUUCGUGGGGGAUAACGUAGGGAAACUUACGCUAAUACCGCAUACGACCUACGGGUGAAAGCAGGGGAUCUUCUGACCUUGCGCGAUUGAAUGAGCCGAUGUCGGAUUAGCUAGUUGGCGGGGUAAAGGCCCACCAAGGCGACGAUCCGUAGCUGGUCUGAGAGGAUGAUCUGCAACACUGGAACUGAGACACGGUCCAGACUCCUACGGGAGGCAGCAGUGGGGAAUAUUGGACAAUGGGCGCAAGCCUGAUCCAGCCAUACCGAGUGGGUGAAGAAGGCCUUCGGGUUGUAAAGCCCUUUUGUUGGGAAAGAAAAGCAGCAGGUUAAUACCCCGCUGUUCUGACGGUACCCAAAGAAUAAGCACCGGCUAACUUCGUG